UACAGAGGGUGCGAGCGUUGUCCGGAAUCACUGGGCGUAAAGGGCGCGUAGGUGGCGACCCAAGUCUGUGGUGAAAGCUCGCCGCUUAACGGCGAGUCGGCCACGGAUACUGGAUGGCUCGAGCACUGUAGGGGCAGAUGGAAUUCCGGGUGUAGCGGUGGAAUGCGUAGAGAUCCGGAAGAACACCGGUGGCGAAGGCGGUCUGCUGGGCAGUAGCUGACGCUGAGGAGCGAAAGCGUGGGGAGCGAACAGG
rnacentral:rRNA from 1 species